rnacentral:rRNA from 1 species
AGAGUUUGAUCCUGGCUCAGGAUGAACGCUGGCGGCGUGCUUAACACAUGCAAGUCGAACGGGAAACAUUUCAUUGAGGCUUCGGUGGAUUUGAUCUGUUUCUAGUGGCGGACGGGUGAGUAACGCGUGGGUAACCUGCCUUAUACAGGGGGAUAACAGCCAGAAAUGGCUGCUAAUACCGCAUAAGCCCACAGAACCGCAUGGACCGGAGUGAAAAACACCGGUGGUAUAAGAUGGACCCUCGUUUGAUUAGAUAGAUGGCAGGACAUCGCCGUACCAAGAGGACGAUCUAUAUCCGGCGUGAGAGGGUGAGCGCCCACAUAGGGAGUGAGACACGCCCCAGACUCUUAUGGGAGGCAGCACUGGGGAAUAUUGCACACUGGGGGAAACCCCGAUACACAGACGCGGCGUGAAGGAAGAAGUAUUUUUGUAAGUAAACUUUUAUCAGCAGGGAAGAUAAUGUCGGUACCUUACUCAGAAACCCCGGGUAAAUACGUGCCAGCACACGCGGUAAUAAGUAGGGGUCAAGAGUUAUCUCGAUUUUUUGGGUGUAAAAGGAGAGUACAGGGGGCAGCAAAUGUGAUAAGAAAGACAGGGGGUUUACCCCUGUAAUGCAUUGUAAAAUGUUUUGUUUGAGUGCAGGAGGGGUAAGGGGAAUUUUUAGUGUAGAGGUGAAAUGUGUAGAUAUUUGGAAGAACACCACUGGGGAAGGCGGCUCAUUAGACGCUACAUGACGUUGAGGCUCUAAAAAGUGGGGAGCACACACGAUUAGAUACCCUGGUAGUCCACGCAGUACACGCUGAUUGCUAGGUGUAGGAGGGUAUGGACCCAUCGCUCCCGCAGCUAACCCAAUAACCCAUCCACUUGUGGAGUACGUUAGCAAGAAUCAAACUCAAAGGAAUUGACGGGGACCCGCACAAGCCGCGGACCAUGUGGUAUAAUUUGAAGCAACGCGAAGAACCUUGCCCGGUCUCGACAUUCCGCAGCAAAACCCGUAACGGGGUUCCCUCUUUUCAGCAUCGGAGCCAGGUCGUGCAUGGCAGUCGUCUGCUCGUGUCGUGUGAUGUUGGGUUAAGUCCCGCAACGAGCGCAACCCUUCCUUUUAGUACCCAGCAGGUACAGCUGGGCUCUGUCAGGAGACCGCCGGGGAUAACCCGGAGGAAGGUGGGGAAGACGUCAAAUCCUCACCCCCCUUAUGAUGUGGGCCACACACGUGCCACAAUGGUGUAACAAAGGGAAGCGAGCCCGCGAGGGUGAGCGAAUCCCAAAAACAACGUCCCAGUUCGGACUGCAGUCUGCAACCCGCCUACACGAAGUUGGAAUCGCUAGUAAUCGCGAAUCAGCAUGUCGCGGUGAAUACGUUCCCGGGUCUUGCACACACCGCCCGUCA